GAAUCAUCUUCCAAAUUUCAUAAAGGAUAAUCUCAUCUACUUUUCUCUGGUCCUAAUAAAAUAUGUAUUAUAUAUGUAUAAGGGAGGAUUUAUAUAUAUUUUUUCAUAAUUGGGUUGAAUAUUUCACAACACUUUUCUCAUUUGCUAUAUGUGUUCACGAAGUGAAAUUUUCAAGACAUCUCUAAAAGCAUUAAUGUAUUCCCAUGCUUUUAGAAGUUGCCAUUUCCAAAAUAUUGGAAAGAUGCAUGUGCCCAAGCAAACUGUAAGAUGAUUCAUUUGGCUUUCAUAUAGGUUGACAGUGUCCAAUUUAAAUUAGUCUAUUUGAUUUUGUGUUAAAAACAAAAUUAUCCCUUAGCUGUUCACAGAUUAAUGCAUUGAAGACUACUGUGAGCCUGUGAGACACCUUGCAGGCCUGAGAUUAUUAUUCUCCUAUCAAAUUGUGUUUCUGGUUUACAGUUAUAUUUCACUGAGGAAGUUUUCAGCACCUUUCAAAAAGUGGUACUUACUUCAAUG
rnacentral:misc_RNA from 1 species